AGGAGGUCAGGGGCUGUUUCCGGAAGGAGCAGCUGCAGAUCCUUGCUGGCGAAGAUUUGUGUGGGUUUCCUGGCGGAUCCUGGGGUUCCCGGGGCUCCGAGGCCGUGGGUCCUCCGCCGUGGUGUUCGCUGGUCGACUCCAUAUUCAGUAGUGUGAGUUCUGAAGAUCUCCCCUAUACAUGGAAGUGUGAAUCCAGUCUCUGAAAUCUGUUCAUUGUGGCUGGGCACAGUGGCACAUCUGUGAUCCAAGCCACUUUGUAGUCUGAGGCUGGAGAAUUGUGAGCUCAAGGCCAGCCUGGGCAACUUAGCAAGACCAUGUCUAAAAUAAAACAUGAAAAGGACUGGGGUUAGCUCAGUGAUGGACACCUCUGGGUUCAAUCUCCAGUACCCCCUAAAAUCCAUUCAAUAUUUAAGAAGAAAUCAUGAAUAUGAAGCAACUAGCCACAUAAGAUAAAUGGAUAUAAUUCAGGAGAUUUAAAAAAGAGAAAGCAGGUUUAAAGCAGAAGGAGACAGGAACCGAGGAUAUAUUGGAUAAAAUAGCACUUGAAGUUCAUGCUUUGGACACGUUCCUAUGGGGGAGGAUGGCAACAGCCCAAAUGCCCCAAACAAGCAGAACUUCAGAAGCAGCAAGGGAGCCAUCCUCCCCAGACCCCGAAACGUCAGUGGUGAAUGAAUGAGAGACUUAACAAGACAAGAUAAUUUCAAGUUUUGAAAAAACUGCCGGGUGGCUGGAGGCCAAGUUGCCUGGGUUGAGCGUAAAUUAACAAGGUGUCAAAUGAACAUCGUGGAGAAUCCACAGGCUCAGCUGGUCCUGGGGACGCCGCUGGCCUGCCUCCGAGGGCCAUCUGGUAAGAGCAUUUCCACGCUCCGCGGUCACCCGGCCUUGGUCUCCGGCGGCCCCCUACCCACUGGUCAUAUUGGCGACCUCUGCUUCCUCCCGAGUGUGGAGAAUCUGCCAUAAAGAAAGCGCGCGCUCAGCUGCAGAUUUUCUGGGCGCAGCGCUGCCCUGGUUUUGGAAGGCGCGCCUCUCCGUCUCCCCUGGGCAUGUGGAACAGCCGAAUGCAAGAGUGAAAACUGCCAAAAUGCUAAUCACGAUGAGAGAAAAAAAUAAAUAACACCAUCCAGAUGGGACAAAGUGGGCAUAUUUCAAGUAUCCUGGGGAACUGUGCAGUAUAUCAUUCGUGAUGCGUGGCACACCGCGCCUCGGCCCUUCACAAACACACACUGCCCGGGCGUAUGCCUGGGGGGACAGGCGGAGCCGGCCGUAAAUCUGAGGGGGCCCUUCGCCCAGCUUUGCGCUCAGGCUGCGGCUGAUUCAGCGGGAUCCGGGCUGCAGUCUGCUCCCUUGGCUGCCCAUCAACUCUGCGGCUCACCCCACGGGGCAGAAUCCCAGCGGGCGAAUUCACCCCAGUGAAACUCAGAUGCUUUUCACAGCAAGGAAACUGCUGCUUUGAACGGGCCUCUGCUGCGCUGGGGAGCCACGUGCCAGGUGGCAAGGUUCCCCCAGGCCCCAGAAGGUGUCCUGGGGCUGCAGGGGCUGAGCAGGUUUGGGGUUUCCACACUCAGUUCUUACCCUCCGUCCAUCUCUGCUGAUUCAGGAGAGCGCCUGGGAUCCACUUUGCAACAAUAAAUUCAGGGGAUCUGAACAGUGGCACCAAGACACACGCUCCGGGAAACACUGAAAUCCACCAAUUACUAGGGAACUGUUUCCGUGAGUGUGGAAGAUAUUCCUCUGCAAAGAAUAUUUGUUUUUCAAUUGGCAUAUAAUAAAUGUCCCUAUUUAAGAGGCAGCAUGUGAUGUUUCAAUUCAUGCAUACCUUAUGUACUGUUCAAAUCAGGGUAAACAUCUACCUUCUCAAACAUUUAUCCUUAUAUUUGUGCUGGAAACAUUCAGAAUCCUUUCAUCUAGGUUUUUUGAAAUAUGCUGUGCAUUAUCUCUAAUAAUCUAUAAUCAUGCUCCAGUGUGACAGAACACUGAAGCAUACGUCUCUCUAGUUGUUUCUCGGUGCCCACUUGGAAGAUGUUUCUAAGAGUUAUUAUUCCUUCAGCUUUGUUCAGGCAGAACAUGGUCCUCCAUGAUAAGGAAUGUCAGUGUAAUGCCAUAGAAUAUGACCCACCACAGGAGUAGAAGUACAGUGUGUUGAAAACCUUUAUGUGCCUUAAAAAACACUGUGCAUAAAGAGGUGUUUUUAAAUGAAGUCACUAAUAUGUGUGUGAUAUGGUAAAUGUUGAUAAUAUAUUAAAAUAUAUAUCAAUCAAAUGACAUAGUUUAAUUUUGUGAAGGAUAGAUAGCAGGACACCACGGUACCUAUGUGUACAUUCAUAUGAAAUUGUCUUAAGUCUCAGCAAACAGAGCAUGAUGAUCAUAUGGCACCAUGGUGUGUCCCUUUAACAUCAGUCUCUUUUAGCUUUUUUAGGUUGGUGUUGUCUUAGAAUUUUUUAUUAGCUAUUAUCAUAAUUCACCAUAGUAAAGCCAAAAUCAAGUCUUGUACCUCAUACAGACAAGAGUUGGAAAAAAUGAGACAGGAAUUGCCUCACAUCAUCCUUUAAGGGUUUGAAAUCAAGUUCCCAAAAGCUCUAAGAUGUAAGAAAUAAUAUCUUUUAAUUUUCCAUGCACUAAAUUAACUCCUACUUUGUGCCUAUAUCUUUGGGUAGAAAAAGCAAACUGCAGUCCAGUUAGUUUCCCUGAGCCCUUUCCUCUGAGUGGCUUUUGUGUUGAAGACCUUCUGUGGGACCGUGCAGGGGUUGGGAGCUGCCAUUCUUGGUUACCAUCACCAGGGGCUGGCAGCGGCUGAGCUGUAUUUCUGCCUGCUCCCUAGACUUCAACCCACCCAGGGAGCUGGGGCUGUGUCCUUUGUAUCCCACUGAGUUCCAGUCCCAGCUCUCUCCCUACGGUUGCCAUCCACCUGUGAGGGCCUGCCAAGGUUUGGCUGCUUUCCGUCACUGGGCUGGGACCUGGGAAACCCUGAACUCUCCUGGGCUAUGAAAAGCCCCUUGAAACUUCUUCAUUCCUCCAGGGUGUACAGGAAAUCCUUCCCAUAAAUAUGCAGAACUAGUCAGUUUCCUAGAAUGCUCUCUGGCUGGAGAAUACAAUUCUGUGCUUUUGGACUUCUAAACCAAUCUGGGAAUUCCAGUAUUCUCCUCAUCUCAAAUGGGCUCUGAGAAAGAGGACACGGUACAGGGAGGGACCUUCUCACACAUUUUUCUCUGUUUUUCUUCUUCAUUUUUUUCUAUUCUUCCUACCAUCCUCCCAUCUGGGAAUUUUAUCUAAAGUCUAGGAGUUAAAAACAUGUCCCUGAGGUUGUGUUCUAGUACUCUUUCAAGUCUCUUUUCUUCUUAAGUCUUGGCUUUUGGUUUGACUUGGUUUGGAAAGUCAAAAGCAAGCUCUUGCCCCGUGAUCCUCAGCCUUGGGCCUCUGCUAAGGUGAGCUGGAAGGGGCGCCUGUGUU